UGGCAGUUCUUGACAUGAGGAAGCCUCUUUGUUUCCAAAGUUGACCAUAAUCGUGUACAAUACCAAAAGUGUAGCGAAAAUCAGUAUAAAUAUUAACAGAGGCACCAGAGGCUAGGGUGCAAGCCCUGGUGAGGGCCACAAGCUCAGCAACUUGCGCUGAAUAUGU